rnacentral:lncRNA from 1 species
GUUUUUGGUUAUUAUCUUGAAUAUUAUUAUAGAUAGAGAUAAACUGUAAACAGCAAUAAUGUUCAGCAAAGUAAGAUCUAAAAAUAAGUCAACAUGACCAAAAUGGUCAGUUGACCACUUUAGGAGUUAUUGCCCUUUAUAGUCAAUUUUUAACCAUUUUUCAUAAAUCUUAGUAAUCUUUUAGAAAAAUCUUCUCCUCUGAAACUACAGGGCCAAAUUUAACCAAACUUAGCCAUAAUCAUCAUUGGGGUAUCUAGUUAACAAAAUGUGUCCAGUGACUCGGCCAACAAACCAAGAUAGCCACCAUGGCUAAAAAUAGAACAUGGGGGGUAAAAUGCAGUUUUGGGCUUAUAACUCAAAAACCAAAGCAUUAAGAGCAAAUCUGACAGGAAGUAAAAUUGUUGAUCAGGUCACGAUCUAUCUGCCCAUGAAUUUUCAGAUGAAUUUGAUAAUCGGUUGUUAGGUUGCUGCCCCUGAAUUGGUUAUUUUGAGGAAAUUUUGCUGUUUUUUUGUUAUUAUCUUGAAUAUUAUUAUAGAUAGAGAUAAACUGUAAACAGCAAUAAUGUACAGCAAAGUAAGAACUAAAAAUAAGUCAGUAUGACCAAAAUAGUCAAUUGACCCCCUAAGGAGUUAUUGCCCUUCAUAGUCAAUUUUUAACAAUUUAAGAUUUUCAAGUACUGUUAUAGAUAGAGAUAAUUGUAAGCAGCAAGAAUGUUUAGUGAAGUAAGAUCUACAAACACAUCACCAUCACCAAAACACAAUUUUGUCAUGAAUCCAUCUUUGUCCAUUGUUUAAUAUUCACAUAAACCAAGGUGAGCGACACAGGCUCUUUAGAGCCUCUAGUUUUAUGGUUCAUUAAUUA